rnacentral:rRNA from 1 species
UACGUAGGGGGCAAGCGUUGUCCGGAAUCAUUGGGCGUAAAGCGCGUGUAGGCGGCUUGGUAAGUCCGCUCUGAAAGCCCGGGGCUCAACCCCGGGAGGCGGGUGGAUACUGUCGGGCUAGAGUGCGGAAGAGGCGAGUGGAAUUCCUGGUGUAGCGGUGAAAUGCGCAGAUAUCAGGAGGAACACCGAUUGCGAAGGCAGCUCGCUGGGACGUCACUGACGCUGAGACGCGAAAGCGUGGGGAGCAAACAGG